rnacentral:rRNA from 1 species
GAGUAAUGUCUGGGAAACUGCCUGAUGGAGGGGGAUAACUACUGGAAACGGUAGCUAAUACCGCAUAACGUCGCAAGACCAAAGAGGGGGACCUUCGGGCCUCUUGCCAUCGGAUGUGCCCAGAUGGGAUUAGCUAGUAGGUGGGGUAACGGCUCACCUAGGCGACGAUCCCUAGCUGGUCUGAGAGGAUGACCAGCCACACUGGAACUGAGACACGGUCCAGACUCCUACGGGAGGCAGCAGUGGGGAAUAUUGCACAAUGGGCGCAAGCCUGAUGCAGCCAUGCCGCGUGUAUGAAGAAGGCCUUCGGGUUGUAAAGUACUUUCAGCGGGGAGGAAGGGAGUAAAGUUAA